rnacentral:tRNA from 1 species
GGGUGAUUAGCUCAGCUGGCUAGAGUGCUUGCUCGACACGCAAGAAGUCGGUGGUUCAAGUCCACUAUCACCCACCA